rnacentral:lncRNA from 1 species
AAGACCACACAAACAAUCACAAUAUACAAAAUCACAAAAUAUGGUCAAAAUGGACAAAGUAAAAAUGACAUUAGCAUAAACAAUUUGAAUGGUAUGAAUAAUGGCAAAUGAAUAAAGCUUAAAAAUUAAAGUGCAUUAAAAGUAAAUGACUUGAAAUUAAAUGUUAGUUGUUAAUGAGUUAGUAGUUAGUAUAGUUUUUGCUUUUGUUUAAGUCAUUCUUUGGAGAACACUCGACCCACUUAUCACAAGCAUGGAUCCUUGAUCCAAG